GUAGUGCCUUUCGGGUAAUGUAGUUCCCGCCGCGCGCUGGGUGAGCCUGCCUGGCCAGGGGAGAGGGCGCGGGGCGGGCGAGCUCUGAGUCCCCAGGGCCAGCUCUGCCCCACGAGACUCCUUGUUCUGACGAUGGGACGGGCUGUGGAGGGGAGAACAGACUGUACCUGAAGGCCAGUGAGGAGCCCCUGAUGAUGAGCGACUGCACCAGGUAGUGGCAAUAGAGACAGCAGAGGUGCCUGGACUCUGGAUGUGUUGCUUCAGUAGGACCAGCCCGGUUUCCUGAUGUGAGGCAGUGAGAGACAGCUAUCAAGGUGAACCUGGGUGUUUGAACUCAGCGGCUUGAUGGAUGGAAGUUCCAUCAACUGAGAUGUGGAAGUUGGUGGCUGGAGCAGGUUCCUGGGAGAAGAUCUGGAGUGGUCUGGUGACAUUUGAGAAUGUGGCUGUGUAUUUCUCCCAGGGGGAGUGUGGAGGCUCCUUAGUGUAACCCAGAGGCACCAGUACUGUGAUGUUGUGUCGGAGAACUUUCAGCUCAUUGGCUCGCUGGGCUCAGCAUGCUGGAAGCUGUUUCUCUAAAGUAGAAUAGUUAUCUGCAGAAGAAGAUGGAGACUUGCUUCCAAAUCUGAGAGAUCUGUGCUGCAAUUCUCCUGUUGCUGCUUCCUGGAGGCUCCAUGUGGUGUCCUGAUUUGCCACAGACACUUCAAGUAUCAUCGAGUCUGCUGGAUCGUGAGGCCCAGGAACUGCCUGCCUCAUACUGCCCUGGAUUGCAUGAUGACAAAUGGUUUAAGUCGCCUUUAACUCUGUGCGGGAUGGACUGGCAACAGAGUUGGGCACUGCUGCCCUGAAGGGACGCAAAGCCCUUUUAUGGGUUGGGUUGUCUCCUUGUCCAAUGGCUACCAACCUGAGAAGUACCAAAGGAGGUUCUUCAUGCUGCAAGUGUGACCCCAGACAACGAUUUGAAUCCACAUGAAAAAACAGCACUGGUGAGUAUGUAAGUAUAAAAGGAAGUAUAAAUGCAUAUUUCUUUUCUUAUUUUAAAAGCAAUGGUAUAAAACCAUAUAGUCAUCUGUCAAUGAUGGGGAUACGUUCUGAGAAAUAUGUCUUUAGACGAUUUCAUCGUUG
rnacentral:lncRNA from 1 species